rnacentral:rRNA from 1 species
AUACGUAGGGGGCGAGCGUUGUCCGGAAUGAUUGGGCGUAAAGGGCGCGUAGGCGGCCCGGUAAGUCUGGAGUGAAAGUCCUGUUUUUAAGAUGGGAAUUGCUUUGGAUACUGUCGGGCUUGAGUGCAGGAGAGGUAAGUGGAAUUCCCAGUGUAGCGGUGAAAUGCGUAGAUAUUGGGAAGAACACCGGUGGCGAAGGCGCCUUUCUGGACUGUGUCUGACGCUCAGAUGCGAAAGCCAGGGUAGCGAACGGGAUUAGAUACCCCGGUAGUCCUGGCCGUAAACGAUGGGUACUAGGUGUGGGAGGUAUCGACUCCUUCCGUGCCGGAGUUAACGCAAUAAGUACCCCGCCUGGGGAGUACGGCCGCAAGGCUUAAACUCAAAGGAAUUGACGGG